rnacentral:lncRNA from 1 species
UAGGGAAGACAUCAAUUCAUUCAAGACUCUCGACAAAGACACUUUAGAUUUAGUCAAAUUUUACUUUAGUAGAUUAGGCUUUUUAAACCAAGUUUUGUAAUAUUGGGCCAAUUUUUGGAAAAAUAGUUUAAGCCCAAUUGUAGAGUAGGACACUUGGCACUAGGGUUUUAGGGUAGGCCCCACCCUAAUUUUUUAGAGGGGACUCACGACAUUUGCC